UGGGAAGUGAAGUGUGUGUGUGGGGGCGGCUGGGUGGAAUUCUAGUUUGUAAAGGGUACCCUUGAGAACUGGGAGUAAGAGGUAAGCAGCAGGCGUGGCUGUGUGUACAGAAGCGUGAUGUUAGCUCAAGGUGUGAGACCGGGCUGGAGCUUGCCAUGGGCAGGAGGCCAAGGCUUGGGACUGAGCUGGUCAAGUUGCAGAGGCUUAGAUCUGUGAAGCCUGAGGUUGAAAACUUGCUGACAACUCCUCGCCUGGGGAUGCCUCCCAUCUUUGUGCCACCCGUGGUCCCUUCCAGAUGUCAUCUCUCAUAGCCCUAGCAGCCUCUUAGGCUUUUUCUCUAGGUUACAAACUUCCUAAAGCCAGAAAUUAUCUUCUCAGAGCCUAGCCUUGUGCCUGCACGUAUUUGAUGCUCACAUUUCUAGCACAUACGAAGAAUUAGGGUCUUAGCCUCUUGGAAAAGACUUGGCCUUUAUUCCCUAUGGAAGAAAGGAAAGAAAUCCCCUGUGAACAUAACAUGGUAGAUGUUAAUUCUCUGUGUAAAGGAGAGAACAAAGCUGGGAGAACUGGACUGGAAGGUAGGAAGAAGAUGCUUCAACAAAACAACUGAUCUCUCUGUGACAGACAGUGGCUUGGUUUCAACAAGGACAUACUAAGUACAUAUAUUGGCCAAAUACUGCAUUAGAGGCCAGAGAUACGAAGGAAAAAAGUAAGUCUAAAUAGAAGUCACGUUUCCCUUCUCCAUCCACCCUAGCGCUCCAGUUGGGUGUGUGGGAAGGUGGAGACCCGGCCUGCAUGCUGGGCGCUGCGGGAGUCUGAGGGCCCAGGGACCUAGAGAAGUGAGAAGCAUUACCCAUCAAAAAAAAUUUAAAGAAUAAAGACAAUACAGAGUGUUGGAGAGCCAAUCCGAAAUCAGUUGAAAGGAGUGAACAUUUGUUGAUAACAUGAGUGUAAGCAGAUAGAGAGGGAACUUGUACUGAAAAAUUCUCCAAAUAUGGACAUAAUCUACUGGAGAGAAAGACGGGAGUAAUUCCAGCGUCGUCUUUACAGAAACACAGUGCAGCUACAUACAAUAACCGCCCUCCUAUGUGAACAAGCCCAGCAGUGGACACUGGUGGAUGAUCAUUGGUUACUGGGUUACAACACACCCAGUAACACCCUUUUACAGUUCAUUGUCACAACACACCCUCGGUGCUGGUAAGAGGAUGAUUCAACAAAAAGUGAAGAACCCAGGAUACUAGGACAGUGUCAGAUCUGGAAAUGCAAUUCCAGCACAAGUUCCUUUCCCCACAGCAGCUUAGCAACCUCACGUCUCUCCAAGGUAGAGAGGAAAAUCAAGUCGAACAGGCCUUCCUGAAGACAAGGUGUGAAAUACCAGAUGUCAUCUUUGUUCCUGGUGAUGACAUGAAACUUCAUCCCAAAUAGCCCUAGGAAAAGCCACUUGUUUUGGAGCAAGAAGGGCUCAUGAUUCAAAUCAUCUCUCCACUAAGAAAGAAACUGCCGAAGAGAUGGCUAUAUAAAGUACUUCCUGGUUCAAAGGGAGGGCUCUGGAGUCAGAAGUCUUGAAUUCGAAUCCCACCUCUGAAAUGUACCAGCUGUGUGACCUUAAGUAAGUAACUGCACUUUUCUGGCCUCCUUGUCCUCUCUGUUAAUGGUAGGUGCUAAACGAACUCAUUGAACUGGUGAUGAGAUUAAACGUGAUAACGCAUAUAACGCACCUAUACAAGGUCUGACGCUGACUGUGUAUUCAGGAAGUGUGAGCUGUUUGCAUAUGCUAGAUCAUUAAUGUCAUUUUCACGUAUGUGGUCGUGAAGGGGUGGGAGGUUCCAGGAAGGUGUUUGAAGCCCUUUUGGUGCCCAGUUUCUUUACUCUGCAUAGGUUGACCCACAACAUGCCUUGGGUGACUCGGCCUGCUUCCCUGCCAGGCUGGUGUCCCAUUCCCUUAUAUCCUUUGCUGAUCCGCCAAUCAAUCUGGUAAACUAAUCAUCACUGAGAUGUUAGACUUUAUUGACUUUCUGACUCGGAGACGUGGCUUAAGAAGUGUACUUCCAGCUGGGAGCAGCUGGGGCCUUUCAGCAGCCUUCAGGUAACACGUCUUUCCACGCAGGCAGCCUGGGCUAUGGCUUCCAUAUUAAUUGGCUGCCUUGCACUAGCGGCUGGUUGUCAUGCUCCGGGGACCUUGUGCACAUUUAUGACACCCGUCUUUCUGCUUCCCUACCUUUCCUCUCCCUUCCCUCCCGGAUCAGAGUGAAACAGGGCUCAUUAAAGCUUUAGAGGGACGGUGUCAAUGGAGAACUUCAGGAGCUUGGCCUGGAGAAGAAUAAUUAGUCAAGAUGGGCUGCAUGCUCUGGAAGACUUUAGAUGGCCACUAAAUCCGUGGGUGUUUAACAGUUAUUGCUUCCCCAUAUUCCUCAAGCUGCUGUUUUGUCAAUUUUAGGAAGACUGGGGGAAAAGUCCUGUAAAUAUUUAUUUUCUACCACAUAACAUAUUUCCUAUUUGACUUGAAAA